rnacentral:rRNA from 1 species
AUUGAACGCUGGCGGCAUGCCUUACACAUGCAAGUCGAACGGCAGCACGGGAGCAAUCCUGGUGGCGAGUGGCGAACGGGUGAGUAAAGUAUCGGAACGUGCCCAGUCGUGGGGGAUAACGUAGCGAAAGUUACGCUAAUACCGCAUACGAUCUAUGGAUGAAAGCGGGGGAUCGCAAGACCUCGCGCGAUUGGAGCGGCCGAGAUCAGAUUGGGUAGUUGGUGGGGUAAAGGCUCACCAAGCCGACGAUCUGUAGCUGGUCUGAGAGGACGACCAGCCACACUGGGACUGGGACACGGCCCAGACUCCUACGGAAGGCAGCAGUGGGGAAUUUUGGACAAUGGGCGCAAGCCUGAUCCAGCCAUGCCGCGUGCAGGAUGAAGGCCUUCGGGUUGUAAACUGCUUUUGUACGGAACGAAAAGGUUUGACUUAAUACGUUGGACUCAUGACGGUACCGUAAGAAUAAGCACCGGCUAACUACGUGCCAGCAGCAGCCGCGG